ACCUAAGAUAAUGCAGUGACUGGACGACGUAAUGCACAGAAUUAUAGAGCUGAGAGGUUUUAGGUUUCCCAGGAAGGCAGAAUAAAGACAGUUCACAGAAUCUUUAGGUAAGAAUUAAAGAAGAAUGACUGCUAUUGGCCAACAGUGAAGGACUUGAGUCAGAUUGAAAAAAGAACUGAAGACUUCAGACGAGGAGUUGGCCCUCAUUGUAACAACUGAGAUACUACUGAUGGCAGUCUUGUUAAUGCACCUUCUACCCUCGUCUGGGUUUUUGUUCUGGUCAGAACAUGCAUUCUGGUCAUUAUUUCUUCUUACUGUGAGGACUCUUAAUCUGUCCCACACUUUUCCUAUGCUGGAGACUCUUGCUCUGGCUUUCAAUUUUACCAUCUGCAGGACUCUGGCUUUGCUUCCGACUUCUCUUAUGGUGUUUGACACCCAUGUUGGUACUCUCAUUACGGUCCUGAGUACUGCUUUGGAGAGGACUACUGCUCCGGCUCCGACUUCUGCUCUGAAAGGCACCCCUUCUUAGGGGACUCUUGCUUUGAUUAUGAAGGGAGCUGUUCUUGUUUGGGCUCUGACUUUUGUUUUGGUGGUUAAUCUGGCUGUCACUACUUUGAUAGUCACUACAAACAAUAGUUGAACUGACAGAAGUGCUACAGGUAGAGGAGGUCUUGGAUGGAGGCAAAGAACAGCUGUAGGGGAUCUGGGAGGGAUUGUUCAGUGGGACUGGAGAAGUCACAGCAUAGGUAUGAAUGCCACAGGGAACAGUAGUGGGGCAAAACCGAGCUCGAGGGACAACAGGUAAACAUCGGGGGUCAAAGGGUGUUCUCAAAGGGAUAAAAGAAUAGAUGUGGGUGGAACAAGGAGGCGCCACAGACUUGAUAUGGGAUGGCGGACCCCUGGGAGCAGAAUAAGUGCCACAAGGGAGAACCGCAGGCUGAGGGAGAGGUAUAGACUGAUUUAGGGGACUAGAGAGUGGGGAUAAAUGGGAGGUGGGAGGAACCACAGAAUACAUAUGAGUAUUGCAGGGGGAAACUGGAGGUGGUACGUGGGGACUACUCUUAGGAUAUCUACUGGGCAAAGCAGGAUUACAAGGCGAGCUAUGAGGACAGGAAGUAGGAGCAACAGUUUUGAGGACAGCGGUCUCUGGGGGAGGUUCUUUUGGGCAGGAAUUUGAAGUAGUUGUGAUGGCUGGCUCCAUACAUGGACUAAAGAGGCCAAAGGACUGGGAGGGAGGCUGAGGACAGGUGUUGGUCUUAUGGGAUUUAGAAUGGCUAGGAGGAGUGUGGUGGGGUGUAUUGUCUAGGGACCGACACUUGUAGGGAUUGCGUCGUGAUUCAGGGGAUUUGGGGGACUUCAUUUGAGGGGGAGCUGAGGUAGGAGGGCGGGGUUCAUUAUAACCUCUGGGUGACUGAGGUGGAGCUACACACUGGUUGUUCAGGGGAGAUGGGAAAUACGGGGAAGGAUUAGGACACUGAGGAAGAGGUGGUCCUGUGGUGCAGGAAGGACCAGAAAUUAUAGUACCUGGGGUUAGUAAGAGGUAAGAGUUCCCCCCAGGCUCCCACAGAAAGGACCCUACACAGGGCUUCUGGAGAGCCUGAGGCAGGGAUGAGCUAGGAGAACCAGCACUCUCAGGUGGUAGGUUGAUAACACAGAAAGGACUCCUAGGGGCAGAUAUCUGGGAAUCUGGGCAUAAAUGGGAAUAAUGAAUACAGCCCUCUUGAGGUGAGAUGGGAGAGCCAGACAUGCCUGCCUGAGAAGAAAGUGGAGGGCCACAGCCAUUUUUCCCAAGAGGUACAUCAAGCUGUGGUUUAGGUUCACAAGAGUUUGGAGGCAUAGGGUUGUCGUGGUAAGGGUUGCCAGAGGGUGGGGAAGAUGCUGAAGAAAGGGGAGGAUCAUUGUAACUUCUUCUAGAGGGACAGUGGGGCCCUCGGUGAGAAAUGGAUGCAGGGGUUAGAGGUCUAGUUUCCACAGAUCGGUGAGCAAGGGGAGGUGAAAUUGCAAGGCCAGGUCUCAGGGGCCGAUGGGUAAGAAGAGGUGAAAUGAUGGAGUAAUUUCCCUGGGACCCUGGCAUAAGGGGAGUCGAAAUCACCGGGCCUGUCUCCAAGGUUAUAUGAUCCACGAGCUUCAGCAGCUUCCGAACACAUCUUAAGACGGGCGCAGCCAUGUCAACUAACAACGCCAAUAAUUCCGACUGAAACUGCAGCUGCGCUCUCGCGGGUUCCGGGAAGGAUUGAGGGCUGCUUAGAAUAUCAGCGGCAGACAGGGCGGGGCUAGGCUUGCGGCGCCCCCAGGGCUCCGCCUACCUCCACACCCCACCCACCAGAAUCCUCGGGGCGCACACGAAGCGGUGGCUGUGCUAGAGCAUCUAAAGGAGCUCCUAGGAAGUUGCAGGGAAGGCCUUCUGGGCUCAACCUGCAUGGAGAAAGCUGCCGAGGUAGAACGAAAUUAGAGCAGACUAUAGACAGAAGCGGAAUUGCUAGGAAGCCAUAGAAGCCAGUUUCAAGAUCUUCCUUUUAGACGGUUCUUUUCAAGACUCGGUACCUAAUUUUGUGUUCUUUCUGAGACUAUCAAAUUGACUACGCCGCUUAGGAUCCAAGAAGAAAGGGGGUGAUCACUAUUUUUAGAAAUGAUCGUUUGGCUGAGCAGAGUGGCAUAUGUCUUUAUUCCAGCACUUGGAAGGCAGAAGCAGACGGAUCUCUGUGAGUUCCAGGCCAAGCUUGGUUUUCAUAGCUACAGGUCAGACAGCUUUUCUGUAACCUUACAUUUAUUCUUAUAAUGUAUUGCCACCCACCAUAUAGUAUAAUCAGC
rnacentral:lncRNA from 1 species